rnacentral:rRNA from 1 species
CAUUACCGAGUUUACAACUCCCAAACCCAAUGUGAACGUUACCAAACUGUUGCCUCGGCGGGAUCUCUGCCCCGGGUGCGUCGCAGCCCCGGACCAAGGCGCCCGCCGGAGGACCAACCAAAACUCUUUUGUAUACCCCCUCGCGGGUUUUUAUAUAUCUGAGCCAUCUCGGCGCCUCUCGUAGGCGUUUCGAAAAUGAAUCAAAACUUUCAACAACGGAUCUCUUGGUUCUGGCAUCGAUGAAGAACGCAGCGAAAUGCGAUAAGUAAUGUGAAUUGCAGAAUUCAGUGAAUCAUCGAAUCUUUGAACGCACAUUGCGCCCGCCAGUAUUCUGGCGGGCAUGCCUGUCCGAGCGUCAUUUCAACCCUCGAACCCCUCCGGGGGGUCGGCGUUGGGGAUCGGCCCUUUACGGGGCCGGCCCCGAAAUACAGUGGCGGUCUCGCCGCAGCCUCUCCUGCGCAGUAGUUUGCACACUCGCAUCGGGAGCGCGGCGCGUCCAUUGCCGUUAAACACCCAACUUUCUGAAAUGUUGACCUCGGAUCAGGUAGGAAUACCCGCUGAACUUAAGCAUAU